rnacentral:misc_RNA from 1 species
UUUCCGUAGGUGAACCUGCGGAAGGAUCAUUAAAAAAUAGGACUUCCAAUGGGAGUUCAUUAAUAAUCCUACCCUUUGUGAAUUUGUUUGUUUGAAAUAAUUUUUUUUCCAAAAAAAUUAUUGAAUGUCUUUCCCUGUUUUUGGUUGAAGCGUAAAAGUGGAGACCAAGCAGGGGAAUGGCAAACAUUAAUUUUUUUGAAAAAAGACCUUUUUUUAAAAUUAAACUUUUUGUAUUCAUUUGUCUAAAAUUAUUUUUAUAAUAUAAAAACAACUUUUGACAAUGGAUCUCUUGGUUCUCGCAACGAUGAAGAACGCAGCAAAAUGCGAUAAGUAAUGUGAAUUGCAGAAUACGUGAAUCAUCGAAUCUUCGAACGCAUAUUGCACUUUUUUAGUUUACUAAAAAAGUAUGUCUGUUUGAGUAUCAGUAAAAUAUUCUCAUAAAAAACUUUUUUUGUUUUUUAUGGUUAUGAGUGUUUUACAACGAUAAACAAGUUGUUUCACUUUAAAUUCUUUGAAAUUUAAAAAAUCGUUAAAACUAAUUUUAAAAUGAUUUUUUAAAAUUGGAUAAAAUUUUCCCGUAAAAAAGGAAUAACCUAAACAAUUUUAAAAAAUUUAAAAUUGGUUGAUUUUUUAAUCCCAAAAGGAAAAAAGUAAAAAUUAACUUGAUCUCAAAUCAGAUAAGAGUACCCGCUGAACUUAAGCAUAUCAAUAAGCGGAGGAAAAGAAACUAACUAGGAUUCCCUCAGUAACGGCGAGUGAAGCGGGAAGAGCUCAAAUUUGAAAUCUUCAAGGUGUUACCUUGACGAAUUGUAGUUUAAAGAAGUGUUUUCUGUUGAUAGUUUGGUAAAAGUUCUUUGGAAUAGGACAUCAUAGAGGGUGAGAAUCCCGUAAUGACCAUUAUUUCAGCUGUGUGAUACACUUUCAAAGAGUCGGAUUGUUUGGGAAUGCAGUCCAAAAUGGGUGGUAAAUUUCAUCUAAAGCUAAACAUUGGCGAGAGACCGAUAGCGAACAAGUACCGUGAGGGAAAGAUGAAAAGAACUUUGAAAAGAGAGUUAAACAGUACGUGAAAUUGUCAAAAGGGAAGCGUUUGACACCAGUGUUGUUUUCUCGAAAAUCAAUUAAAAAGGUUUGAUUUUGUUGUGUAUUGACCUUAUCAGCAUUUGCAUUCAUUUUCUUGCCUUUUUUAAUGCACUUUUCGUUUAACAAGUCAACAUCAGUUUCUUUUGUUGUAAAAGAGUCAUUGGAAGGUGGCUUUCUUUUCGGAGAAAGUGUUUAUAGCCUUUGGCUUCUGCAAUCGGAGAGACUGAGGUCUGCAGCGUAGAUCCUUCGGGGUUAGAUACAUUUGUGCUAAGUUAUAGCUUUCAUAGACAACUUGUUGACUAUGAUUAGUCUUGUAGCUUACUCGCUUAUGUUAUUU